AGAUGGCUACAUUCUUCCAGCAUGGUCUGGUUUCUGUCCCAUUCUGUUCCUUAUGGGUUUUCAGCUCCUCUGAAGUAGAGAAAGCACAGGCCGCCUCAGGAUUCCUCUGUGGAUGUUGAUCAUGUUGAUGAUGACGAUAUUGAUGACCAACAUGUAUUUUCCAAAUACUCGUGCCUUCCGUAACUCAGCUAAGUCUCCAGAGACCCUGGUUCCUCCAGGAGUGAUCCA
rnacentral:lncRNA from 10 species